AAGUUUGGAAAAAGAAAGAUGAGAAAAAAAAAUCAUCAUCAUCUCCUUUUCAUGUCACACUCGUUCCCCAUUUUAUCAAGAUUUUUUUUUCUUUCAUUUUAGUCAUUCCUCCAUUUUCAACUCUUUUCCAAACUUAAACUCAAAAUUUUCUUCAUAGAUUGCUAGCAAAAUGAGGAGGGCAACUCCUGAGCUUAUUUUCUUGCAAAGCUAGCUAAUAGACAUUUUUGGAGGAGAAAAGAAAUGAAGAAAAGAUAGGGAUUUUGGGAAAGUUAAGCGAAAGAGAAGAAGAGUGAUUAUCAAGUGGGUGACAAGGGCAAGAAGGUAGCAAAUAAAUGAAGGAAGAGAGGGUCUUUUCAAGUAAUUUGGUUGUGAAGAUGGUUUCCAACUCAUCUCAUCACAUCUUAAGCUUUGAAGGAAGUAUGAUUUCAAACUUUUGGGCAUAGAUUUGGCAUGUACAUAGGAAUUUAUCAAGAAUGUUAAAUAUAUUAUCUAAAGGAUGAAAUUGUUGGACAUUGAUCUUCAUUAUAAACUUUGUAUUUUGGAUAUGUUUGAAGUAGUUUCAUGAUGAUUUGAGUAA